rnacentral:rRNA from 1 species
AGCAAAUAGAUACCCAGGUAGUCCACGCGGUAAACGAUGAAUACUAGGCGUAGGUGGAGUGAAAAUCCAUCUGUGCCGCAGCAAACGCGAUAAGUAUUCCGCCUGGGGAGUACGGCCGCAAGGCUAAAACUCAAAGGAAUUGACGGGGGCCCGGCCACAAGCAGCGGAGCGUGUGGUUUAAGUUUACGUAUGCAACACGAAGAACCUUACCCUGGGUUUGGUACAUCUGCGUAGUAGUGAACCGAAACGGGGAACGGACUCUUCGGUAGAGCGCGGACGAGGUGCUGCAUGGCUGUCGUCAGCUCGUGUCGUGAGAUGUUGGGUUAAGUACCCGCAACGAGCGCAACCCCUACUUGCCAGUUACUAAGUAGUCUGGCGAGACUGCCGGUACGAAAACCGG